UUAAGGUUUCCGUAAGGAUGAAAAGGGAAUCAGGUGCAAAUCCUGAACAGUCCCGCUGCUGUAAGGGCGGAUUCAGCAGUCUCAGACCAUUGGCGUAUGCUGAGAAGGGAGGCUGCAGUGGCCUAAGUCAGAAGACCUGCCUUAAACUGUU
rnacentral:ncRNA from 1 species